rnacentral:rRNA from 1 species
UAAACUAUGCCAGCCAGCGUUCCGGCUGUGUUCCUCAAAUGACACGCCGGGCAGCUUCCGGGAAACCAAAAGCUUUUGGGUUCCGGGGGAAGUAUGGUUGCAAAGCUGAAACUUAAAGGAAUUGACGGAAGGGCACCACCAGACAUGGAGCCUGCGGCUCAAUUUGACUCAACACGGGAAAAUUUAUCUGGUCCGGACACAGGAAGGAUUGACAGAUUAAGAGCUCUUUCUUGAUUCUGUGGGUUGUGGUGCAUGGCCGUUCUUAGUUGGUGGAGCGAUUUGUCUGGUUAAUUCCGAUAACGAACGAGACUCUAGCCUAUUAAAUAGACGUCCCUAUGUCUUUUACGAAUGGGGCGGUUCUUCUUAGAGGGACAAGCGGCUUUUAGCCGCACGAGACAGAGCAAUAACAGGUCUGAGAUGCCCUUAGAUGUCCGGGGCCGCACGCGCGCUACAUUGAAGGAAUCAGCGUGUGCUUUCCCGGUCCUACUGGAUCGGGUAACCCCUUGAAUCUCCUUCGUGCUGGGGAUAGGGGCUUGUAAUUGUUCCCCUUGAACGAGGAAUGCCCAGUAAGCGCGAGUCAUUAGCUCGUGUUGAUUACGUCCCUGCCCUUUGUACACACCGCCCGUCGCUACUACCGAUUGAUUGUCUUAGUGAGGUCUUCAGACUGGCGCCCGGAUUGGCCUUCUCGGUUAA